CCUACGGGAGGCAGCAGUGAGGAAUAUUUGUCAAUGGGCUUACGCCUGAACCAGCCAAGUCGCGUGAGGGAAGACUGCCCUAUGGGUUGUAAACCUCUUUUGUCAGGGAGCAACGCCGGCUACGUGUAGCCGGACUGAGAGUACCUGAAGAAAAAGCAUCGGCUAACUCCGUGCCAGCAGCCGCGGUAAUACGGAGGAUGCGAGCGUUAUCCGGAUUUAGUGGGUUAAAGGGGUGCGUAGGCGGAAUGCCAAGUGAGCGGUAAAAUCGCGGGGCUCAACCUCGCCCCGCCGUUGAAACUGGCGUUCUUGAGUGGGCGAGAAGUAUGCGGAAGGCGUGGUGGAGCGGUGAAAUGCAUAGAUAUCACGCAGAACUCCGAUUGCGAAGGCAGGAGACCGGCGCCCAACUGACGCUGAAGCACGAAGGCGUGGGUAUCGAACAGGAUUAGAUACCCGAGUAGUC
rnacentral:rRNA from 1 species